rnacentral:misc_RNA from 1 species
GAAAUGCGAUAAGCAAUGUGAAUUGCAGAAUUCAGUGAAUCAUCGAAUCUUUGAACGCACCUUGCGCUCCUUGGUAUUCCUUGGAGCAUGCCUGUUUGAGUAUCAUGAAAUCUUCAAAGUAAAUCUUUUGUUAACUCAAUUGGUUUCUACUUUGGUAUUGGAGGUCUUUGCAGCUUCACACCUGCUCCUCUUUGUUCAUUAGCUGGAUCUCAGUGUUAUGCUUGGUUCCACUCGGCGUGAUAAGUUAUCUAUCGCCGAGGACACUGUAAAAGGUGGCCAAGGUAAAUGCAGAUGAACCGCUUCUAAUAGUCCAUUGACUUGGACAAUACUUUUAUGAUCUGAUCUCAAAUCAGGUAGGACUACCCGCUGAACUUAAGC